GUUGCAGCUUCAAACCAUCUACUAGAGAAAGCAAUAAGUGAGAAGAUGAGAGAGCGUGUGUGUGAGAGAGAGAAGAGAGAUGAAGAAUCCAUCAGCUGUCCAGCAUGUUUACGAGAAGUAUACACAUAGCGUCUAAGGUGGUGCUGAAGGGGAAGAGCCGAGCCAUUUGUCUGGAGAAUAUUAGCAUACAUACGGUUACCAAACUUCAUACAACGAUGAUGGGGUUUAUCUGCUGACAGAGUAUUAUUCUAGAGGAGAAAUCUAGUUUUUCGAGGCAAGUAGCUGCUUUGCUAGACUCCCUGAUCAUGCCUUAUUGUUGUCUCCCUUGAGUAUCUGAUUAUAUUGUUGCACCUUGAAUCUUAUUUAUCCUCUGUUGAUUCCUCUUUUAUUUGAGAAGGACAUGUUGUCCUUGAUAAUCCAUUUGUUGAAGGACAUGUUGUCCUUGAUGAUCCAUUUGUUGAUGGAAAGUCUGAUAUGAGAGGGACUCAUGUAAAGGCAUGGGUUUAUUGUCUUGACUGAUAUUUCAGUGAUCCUAUAGCUGAUCCAGCCACAUGUCAUAUUCUGUCCAUCUAUAUUGGUGUCACGACGGCAAACGUAUUGUACCGGUCACAGUUCAGGUAUGGGACUGUCUAAGUUCUCUGCUAAGGACGGACCUUGUUCGGGAACGUGUCGGUGAUGGAUCCGUAGGAGCGACCGACAUCAGUAGGUCCAGGUGUCCGAGUCUUAGUGGGUACAAGAGCUCUGCUCUUCUGGAACCUGUGUGGUUCUAGUCGAGGCUGUCGACGUCGGAGUACCCCUCUUAAGAGCGUAAAAGUGUGAAAUUUCACCCCUGUGACUCCCGGGUUGGGAAGCUUGCGGUCAUGUGUGACGCCAAUAAUUUCCUUGUUCGUUUUCGCCAUUGAAAUAUGUCCCGAGUAUUAUUACCUUGUUUAUCCUUUGAAUUCAGUUCAUCUGUUGAUCUACAUCCUCAUACUAUUCUUUUUGUUGAAUACGUGAAGUAUCUGCUUGCUGAGUAUGACUUGUCGUACUCACCCUUGCUUCCUUUGUUUUUUAGAUUCAGACGAUGCAACUUAAGUAUGCCCAGAAGAUGUCAUAGAAGAAUAGGCUGGACCAGUGGGUGGGAAGCGAUUAUAGAUUGAUUUAUUUGAGACGUUUGUAAAUGUAAAGAAUUUGUAAAAGCAGAUAUAUGAGCUUUUGUGAUCCACUGCUGGUUUAUGCCUGCUUAAUCACGCCUUGCGUGGCUAUAGGCCUCUUGGUCUAUAGGCGCGCGGCGGCUGUCUUGCCUAGGCCCGGUCUUGGGGCGUGACAGUUAAAGUGGUAUCAGAGCUCUAGGUUUUUAGGUUGCGCUGGGAUAAAUGAGUAGAUCGUCGAAUAUACUCGUGGCUAAUUAUUGUUAAAGAAAUAAUGUUUUUAUCAAUUGGUAGCAAAGAAGAAGUGCUUACACCAUUAUUAGACCUUUGAGGAACCGUAUAAACUAAAAUGAUUCAUGGCAAUAAAUUUUGUCACAUUAUAUUUGUGUUGUGUGAUAGGUAUGAAGAUUUUAUUUUCAUAUCUUGUCUCAACUAGUUUGUGUGUUGGUACUCAUGAAUAGUUUCGACAGAUAUCCAGGCAAAUAAAAAUAUAGCGUACAUAUUAUUGGUGAAAUUUGAGGAUGCAUGGGAAAUAAAUAGACAUUUUGCUAGAUUAACUCAUGACUUGUUAUUUGUGUAUAUUUUCUUGUUUAAGACAACUGGUGAUAUUUAUCUAGUAAUGGGACAAUUGCUAUACCACCAUCUAUCAUUUUUGUUAUUGUUUGUUAAUGACCUUACCAAAUAAUAUGUUUAGUGUUGCCAACUUAUGUUAUAACAGAUAUAUCCAUGAAUUGUAGAAAAUAUUGCAAAUCUUGUUUGCAUUAUUUCUAAUUAAUUAUUGAGCAUGCAUUAAAUAAGCUGUCUCAAUUAUUAUCGGAGGAUAUUUGGCCACUAAAAAAAUAGUGUAAAUGUUUUGUGUUGAAUUUCGGGGACAAAAUUCUUAUAAGGUGGGAAGGAUGUAAUAACCCGGAUUUUUAGGGUUAUUAUUUUUUGUUCUUAAGUUAAGAUGAAUAAUUAAAUCUGUAUUACUUCUUUAAAUAAAUGAUUGAGCACUGUUUCAAAGAAAUAUAAUAGACAUGUAUUUUUCUCCAUGCAAUAAUAGAUGGAAUAUCCACACAAUUAGAUAGGGUGUGCAUUUGUGCACGUGAGACUAGCAUCCAUACACUCACGUGGUGGUGUUUGUAUGUGGUAAUAGAUGGUAGUAUAACCUUGCAAAAAAAAAAGAUGGUAGUACAAUCUAGAUAAUUAAGGGAGUUAACAUGGAAUUAGACUAGAUGGAAUUGGGUCAGGUAGAGAUGAUAGAUCGGUAGAUAUUUCCUAGUACUAGAACUCCAAAUCAACUAGGUGCAUGCAUGUCAUGAUGAGAAUGCACACGUAUGUACUGUCCUUGCUAGCUAAGUAAAAAUCUAUGUGUACGUGGAGGUUGCCGUGGCAUGCAUGUAGUCUCUUGGACAUUCUAGUCCUAUACGUGGACUCUUCCUAUGGUGGCCAGGUUGAUUAGGCCUUUGCACUAGCUAUAGGGGCAGCAGCCAAAUAUUUUUACCAGCUCCAAAGGUCAGCUGGAAGGGUCACUGCGGCUGCGAUAUUUUUCUAGCAUUCAACCCACAAUCAACCCUAUAAAUAGGACCUCCUGCUGCUGGUUGUUGCAGCUUCAAACCAUCUAGUAGAGAAAGCAAUAAGUGAGAAGAUGAGAGAGCGGUGUGUGAGAGAAGAGAGAUGAAGAAUCCAUCAGCUGUCCAGCAUGUUCACGAGAAGUAUACACAUAGCGUCUAAGGUGGUGCUGAAGGGGAAGAGCCGAGCCAUUUGUCUGGAGAAUAUUAGCAUACAUACGGUUACCAGACUUCAUACAACGAUGAUGGGGUUUAUCUGCUGACAGAGUAUUAUUCUAGAGGAGAAAUCUAGUUUUCCGAGGCAAGUAGCUGCUUUGCUAGACUCCCUGAUCAUGCCUUAUUGUUGUCUCCCUUGAGUAUCUGAUUAUAUUGUUGCACCUUGAAUCUUAUUUAUCCUCUGUUGAUUCCUCUUUUAUUUGAGAAGGACAUGUUGUCCUUGAUAAUCCAUUUGUUGAAGGACAUGUUAUCCUUGAUGAUCCAUUCGUUGAUGGAAAGUGUGAUAUGAGAGGGACUCAUGUAAAGGCAUGGGUUUAUUGUCUUGACUGAUAUUUCAGUGAUCCUAUAGCUGAUCCAGCCACAUGUCAUAUUUUGUCCAUCUAUAUUGGUGUCACGACGGCAAACGUAUUGUACCGGUCCCAGUUCAGGUAUGGGACUGUCUAAGUUCUCUGCUAAGGACGGACCUUGUUCGGGAACGUGUCGGUGAUGGAUCCGUAGGAGCGACCGACAUCAGUAGGUCCAGGUGUCCGAGUCUUAGUGGGUACAAGAGCUCUGCUCUUCUGGAACCUGUGUGGUUCUAGUCGAGGCUGUCGACGUCGGAGUACCCCUCUUAAGAGCGUAAAAGUGUGAAAUUUCACCCCUGUGACUCCCGGGUUGGGAAGCUUGCGGUCAUGUGUGACGCCAAUAAUUUCCUUGUUCGUUUUCGCCAUUGAAAUAUGUCCCGAGUAUUAUUACCUUGUUUAUCCUUUGAAUUCAGUUCAUCUGUUGAUCUACAUCCUCAUACUAUUCUUUUUGUUGAAUACGUGAAGUAUCUGCUUGCUGAGUAUGACUUGUCGUACUCACCCUUGCUUCCUUUGUUUUUUAGAUUCAGACGAUGCAACUUAAGUAUGCCCAGAAGAUGUCAUAGAAGAAUAGGCUGGACCAGUGGGUGGGAAGCGAUUAUAGAUUGAUUUAUUUGAGACGUUUGUAAAUGUAAAGAAUUUGUAAAAGCAGAUAUAUGAGCUUUUGUGAUCCACUGCUGGUUUAUGCCUGCUUAAUCAUGCCUUGCGUGGCUAUAGGCCUCUUGGUCUAUAGGCGCGCGGCGGCUGUCUUGCCUAGGCCCGGUCUUGGGGCGUGACAGUUAAAGUGGUAUCAGAGCUCUAGGUUUUUAGGUUGCGCUGGGAUAAAUGAGUAGAUCGUCGAAUAUACUCGUGGCUAAUUAUUGUUAAAGAAAUAAUGUUUUUAUCAAUUGGUAGCAAAGAAGAAGUGCUUACACCAUUAUUAGACCUUUGAGGAACCGUAUAAACUAAAAUGAUUCAUGGCAAUAAAUUUUGUCACAUUAUAUUUGUGUUGUCUGACAGGUAUGAAGAUUUUAUUUUCAUAUCUUGUCUCAACUAGUUUGUGUGUUGGUACUCAUGAAUAGUUUCGACAGAUAUCCAGGCAAAUAAAAAUAGAGCGUACAUAUUAUUGGUGAAAUUUGAGGAUGCAUGGGAAAUACAGAGACAUUUUGCUAGAUUAACUCAUGACUUGUUAUUUGUGUAUAUUUUCUUAUUUAAGACAACUGGCGAUAUUAUCUAGUAAUGGGACAAUUGCUACACCACCAUCUAUCAUUUUUGUUAAUGUUUGUUAAUGACCUUACCAAAUAAUAUGUUUAGUGUUGCCAACUUAUGUUAUAACAGAUAUAUCCAUGAAUUGUAGAAAAUAUUGCAAAUCUUGUUUGCAUUAUUUCUAAUUAAUUAUUGAGCAUGCAUUAAAUAAGCUGUCUCAAUUAUUAUCGGAGGAUAUUUGGCCACUAAAAAAAUAGUGUAAAUGUUUUGUGUUGAAUUUCGGGGACAAAAUUCUUAUAAGGUGGGAAGGAUGUAAUAACCCGGAUUUUUAGGGUUAUUAUUUUUUGUUUUUAAGUUAAGAUGAAUAAUUAAAUCUGUAUUACUUCUUUAAAUAAAUGAUUGAGCACUGUUCCAAAGAAAUAUAAUAGACAUGUAUUUUUCUCCCUGCAAUAAUAGAUGGAAUAUCCACACAAUUAGAUAGGGUGUGCAUUUGUGCACGUGAGACUAGCAUCCAUACACUCACGUGGUGGUGUUUGUAUGUGGUAAUAGAUUGUAGUAUAACCUUGCAAAAAAAAUAGAUGGUAGUACAAUCUAGAUAAUUAAGGGAGUUAACAUGGAAUUAGACUAGAUGGAAUUGGGUCAGGUAGAAAUGAUAGAUCGGUAGAUAUUUCCUAGUACUAGAACUCCAAAUCAACUAGGUGCAUGCAUGUCAUGAUGAGAAUGCACACGUAUGUACUGUCCUUGCUAGCUAAGUAAAAAUCUAUGUGUACGUGGAGGUUGCCGUGGCAUGCAUGUAGUCUCUUGGACAUUCUAGUCCUAUACGUGGACUCUUCCUAUGGUGGCCAGGUUGAUUAGGCCUUUGCACUAGCUAUAGGGGCAGCAGCCAAAUAUUUUUACCAGCUCCAAAGGUCAGCUGGAAGGGUCACUGCGGCUGCGAUAUUUUUCUAGCAUUCAACCCACAAUCAACCCUAUAAAUAGGACCUCCUGCUGCUGGUUGUUGCAGCUUCAAACCAUCUACUAGAGAAAGCAAUAAGUGAGAAGAUGAGAGAGCGUGUGUGUGAGAGAGAGAAGAGAGAUGAAGAAUCCAUCAGCUGUCCAGCAUGUUUACGAGAAGUAUACACAUAGCGUGUAAGGUGGUGCUGAAGGGGAAGAGCCGAGCCAUUUGUCUGGAGAAUAUUAGCAUACAUAUGGUUACCAGACUUCAUACAACGAUGAUGGGGUUUAUCUGCUGACAGAGUAUUAUUCUAGAGGAGAAAUCUAGUUUUCCGAGGCAAGUAGCUGCUUUGCU
rnacentral:lncRNA from 1 species